GUCACACAGUUUGAGACUUUGACUUAUUCAGAGAGGUUAAGUCCGAUCCUUAGAUGCCUCAGGUACUCUAGCACAGACCAUACAGUUUCUUUCAACCCUUGGGGCAGAACUAACACUCCAGUAGGUAAAUAAAGCAGAAGCCCUAACUUCUGUCAGUCGCUCAGAUAUGUGAUGACAACCUGGUCCUUUUAUAGACAUAAGCACUAGAGACAACACAGGGAGGGUCAGAAGUUCAAAACCCUGUGCAACUUGAUGAUACAUCUGUCUCUCCCUCCCUCUCCCUCCCUCCCCCUCUCUGUCUCUCCCUCCCUCCUUCUCUGUCCCUCCCACCCUCUCUCUCUCCUCCCUCUCUCUGUCUCUCCCUCCAUCUCUCUGUCUCUCCCUCCCUCUCUGUCUCUCCCUCCCUCUCUCACUCCCUCUCUCUCUCCCUCUCUCUCUCUCUCUCUCUCUCUCUCCCUCCCUCUCUCUCUCUCUGCCUCUCUCUCCCUCUCUCUGUCUCUCCCUCCCUCUCUCUUUCCCUGUGAAACAAACUCACUAAGUUAGUAUUAUGAACAGUGUUGGGGGAAACAACCAAUCACCUCACACUGGAAGAAGUUAAGCAACACUAAAGCUACCCUUAACAAAAAAAUUGUUUACUGAAAAAAGCUACUUUCAAAUGAAGUUCACUACAUCCAAACUACUUUGUGAAAAAAAGUCAUAUCUAAAUCUGAAAUGUCAUAGACUACAAAUUGCAAAAAUAGAUCACUCUGGAGUCAGAUGUGUAAUUUUGCCUAUUAAACACAAAAACGGUUUCAAGUGUGAAUUGUGCAGGUUUGAUGUCAAAAAAUAGUUCUUGCCUACUUCACCCAUAUUUUAUUAAAAGUAGUAUGUAGUUCCAGUAGUUAGCUACACCACUACAUGAUAAAAAAAAGUAAUUAACUACGGAAAACACUACCAAGAUUUGAAUAUAGUUCAACUACCACCAAGCUACAUCAAAAUGUAAUUAAAUUACUAGUUGAACUACAUGUAGUUAACUACUCCCCAACACUGAUCAUGAAGUAUUUACCAACCAGCUCAGCACCUCCUUCAUAGUCUUUCUGUCUUCCUGUCUCUGGGGGGAAAUGCUUGAGGCUUGUGUCAUUUCCUACUAGCAGAGCCAGAAAAGGGCUUCUGAAUUCUUCCUUUUGUCUGAUGUCACUCCAGGGCCCUGACAAUAUGGCCCCUAUAUGUUCAUACAUUAUAUCAGACAGUGUGAUGAUAGCUGUAGAAUAUCUUGAUGGAACCUCUGCAUUGAUUCCACAUCUUGUGCCAAUACGUUCUAUGUGCUCUGGAAUGUAGUGAGUUACUGUAAAUCAGAUCAAAUCAAACUUUAUUUGUCACAUACGCCGAAUACAACAGGUAUAGACCUGACCGGGAAAUGCUUACUUUACAAUCCCUAACAAACAAUGCAGUUCAAGAAAAAGUUAAGAAAAUAUUUACCAAAUAAACUAAAGUAAAAAAUUAUAAAAAGUAACACGAUAAAAUAACAAUAACGAGGCUAUUUACAGGAGGUACUGAUACCGAGUCAAUGUGCGAGGUAAUUUGUAGGUAGGGGUAAAGUGACUAUGCAUAGAUAAUAAACAGCGAGUAGCAGCAGUGUAAAAACAAAAUAUUUACUAUAUAAACUAAAGUUUUUAAAAAUCAAAUCUAAAUGUAACCCAAGAAAAUUACAUAACAAUAAUGAGGCUAUAUACAGGGGGUACCGGUACCGAGUCAAUGUGUAGGGGUACAGGUUAGAUGAGGUCAUUUGUAAAGUGACUAUGUAUAGGUAAUAAACAGUGAGUAGCAGCAGUGUAAAAAGAGAGAGGGGGGGGUCAAUGUAAAUAGUCCUGGGAGCCAUUUGAUUAAUUGUUCAGCAGUCUUAUGGCUUGGGGGUAGAAGCUGUUAAGGAGCCUUUUGGUCCUAGACGUGGUGCUCUGGUACCACUUGCCGUGAGGUAGCAGAGAGAACAGUUUAUGACUUGGGUGACUGGAGUCUUUGACAUCUUUUUGGGGCUUUCCUCUGACACUGCCUAGUAUAAAGGUCCUGGAUGGCCGGAAGCUUGGCCCCAGUGAUGCAACUGGUCAGGAUGCUCUUGAUGGUGUAGUUGUAGAACUUUUUGAGGAUCUGGGGACCCGUGCCAAAUCUUUUCAGUCUCCUGAGGGAGAAAAGGUGUUGUCGUGCCCUCUUCAUGACUGUUUUGGUGUGUUUGGACCAUGAUAGUUCGUUGGUGGUCUGUAGUGUGGAUCCUGCUCUAGGAUGUACAGCUACAAGGCUGUAUGAUGAGAGAGGGAGGAGGGUUACAGUAGAUAGACACCUCACCCUUUCCCCAUUCUUCUGUUUAUCUAUCUGAGAGGGAGAGGUGUAUGUGUGUGUGUGUGUGUGUGUGUGUGCGAGCGUGCGUGCGUGUUUGUCUCCUGUGCACACAUUGGAAUUCUGACCUUUGAAAAAAGCAGCCCGUUUCCCUCCCUUCUCCACCUCCUCCCUCUUUUUCUCCCUCUUCAUUACAUCAGGUCUGACUAAUAAACAACACACUGUUUGGAGAGACCGCUCCCUUACUGUCACUGAAAAAAACAUUGGUAUCCAUUGACAUGAAUGUGGGCUUGAGUUUGUGUGGGACAGGGAGUAGCAGUCCUCCCUGUAGCUCUGAGAUUCGAUCGAGAGAUGCCCUUAUUUGAACUAAUUUUCUCUCCUCUCCUCCUUGCACACACAUACUGUACACACAAAGUGUCUCUCACAUACCCUUCACUAUGGCUGCAAGUUGUCAUUUAAACCGCUUUUGAACCUGAUGUUCCUGGUUCAGGAACACCAGGUUCAUAAGGGGGAGACGCAGGCUAGAGCUGCCGCUUUCAAGGAGCAGGACUCUAAUCCGGACGCUUAUAAAUAAUCCCGCUAUGCCCUCAGACGAACCAUCAAUCAGACAAAGUGUCAAUACAGGACUAAGAUUGAAUCCUACUACACCUGCUCUGACGCUCGUCGGAUGUGGCAGGGCUUGCAAACUAUUACGGACUACAAAGGGAAACCCAGCCACGAGCUGCCCAGUGACGCGAGCAUCAGCUGUUCCGGACGACUGUGUGAUCACGCUCUCCGUAGCCGAUGUGAGCAAGACAUUUUAACAAGUCAACAUUCACAAGGUCGCGGGGGUAGGCGGAUUACCAGGACAUGUACACAGAGCAUGCGCUAACCAACUGGCAAGUUUCUUCACUGAUAUUUUCAACCUCUCCCUGAAUGAGUCUGUAGUACCUACAUGUUUCAAGCAGACCACCAUAGUCCCUGUGCCCAAGAAUGCGAAGGUAACUUGCCUAAAUGACUACCGCCCGUAGCACUUACAUCGGUAGCAAUGAAGUGCUUUGAAAGGCUGGUCAUGGCUCACAUCAAGGUGGUAAGAGUAGGUAACAACUGAUCUUCUACACGGGGCCCCUCAAGGAUGUGUGCUUAGUCCUCUCUUGUACACCCUGUUCACCCAUGACUGCGUGGCCACAACGGGGGUAGGCCUGAUCACCAACAACUAUGAGACAGCCUAUAGGGAGGAGGUCAGAGAUCUGGCAGUGUGGUGCCAGGACAACAACCUCUCCCUCAACGUGAGCAAGACACAGGAGAUGAUCGUGGACUACAGGAAAAGGAGAGCCGAACACUCCCCCAUUCUCAUCGGCGUGGCUGUAGUGGAGUGGGUUCAGAGUGUCAAGUUCCUUGGGGUCCGCAUUUCCAACAAACUAUCCUGGUCCAAACACACCAAGACAGUCAUGAAAAGCGCACAACAACUCCUUUUCCCCCUCAGGAGACUGAAAAGAUUUUGCAUGGGUCUCCAGAUCCUCAAAGUUCUACAGCUGCACCAUCGAGAACACCCUGACCGGUUGCAUCAUCAUCUGGUAUGGUAACUACUCAGCAUCCUGCCGUAAGGCGCUACAGAGGGUAGUGCAUACAGCCCAGUACAUCACUGGGGCCAAGCUUCCUGCCGUCCAGGACCUAUAUAAAAGGCAGUGUCAGAGGAAGGCCCCAAAAAUUGUAAAAGAAUCCAGUCACCCAAGUCAUCAAAUCAAAUGUAUUUAUAUAGCCCUUCGUACAUCAGCUGAUAUCUCAAAGUGCUGUACAGAAACCCAGCCUAAAACCCCAAACAGCAAGCAAUGCAGGUGUAGAAGCACAGUGGCUAGGAAAAACUCCUAGAAAGGCCAUAACCUAGGAAGAAACCUAGAGAGUAACCAGGCUAUGAGGGGUGGCCAGUCCUCUUCUGGCUGUGCCGGGUGGAGAUUAUAACAGAACAUGGCCAAGAUGUUCAUAAAUUGGUCAAAUAAUAAUAAUCACAGUAGUUGUCAAGAGUGCAGCAAGUCAGCACCUCAGGAGUAAAUGUCGGUUGGCAUUUCAUAGCCGAUCAUUGAGAGUAUCUCUACCACUCCUGCUGUCUCUAGAGUGUUGAAAAAAGCAUGUCAAAGAUCUCCGCCACGGCACAACCCAAGGGGGGGCGCCAACCCAGACAGGAAGAUCACAUCAGUGACUCAACCCACUCAAGUGAUGCACCCCUCCUAGGGACGGCAUGAAAGAGCACCAGUAAGCCAGUGACUCAGCCCCUGUAAUAGGGUUAUAGGCAGAGAAUCCCAGUGGAAAGAGGGGUACCGGCCAGGCAGAGACAGCAGGGUGGUUCGUUGCUCCAGAGCCUUUCUGUUCACCUUCACACUCCUGGGCCAGACUACACUCAAUCCUAUGACCCACUGAAGAGAUGAGUCUUCAGUAAAGACUUAAAGGUUGAGACCGAGUCUGCGUCUCUCACAUGGGUAGGCAGACCAUUCCAUAAAAAUGGAGCUCUAUAGGAGAAAGCCCUGCCUCCAGCAUUUUGCUUAGAAAUUCUAAGGACAAUUAGGAGGCCUGCGUCUUGUGACCGUAGCGUACGUGUAGGUAUGUACGGCAGGACCAAAUCAGAGAGAUAGGUAGGAGCAAGCCCAUGUGAUACAUUGUAGAUUAGCAGUAAAACCUUGAAAUCAGCCCUUGCCUUAACAGGAAGCCAGUGUAGGGAGGCUAGCACUGGAGUAAUAUGAUCAAAUUUUUUGGUUCUAGUCAGGAUUCUAGCCGCCGUAUUUAGCACUAACUGAAGUUUAUUUAGUGCUUUAUCUGGUAGCCGGAAAGUAGAGCAUUGCAGUAGUCUAACCUAGAAGUAACAAAAGCAUGGAUACAUUUUUCUGGACAGAAAGUUUCUGAUUUUUGCAAUGUUACGUAGAUGGAAAAAAGCUGUCCUUGAAACAGUCUUGAUAUGUUCGUAAAAGAGAGAUCAGGGUCCAGAGUAACGCCGAGGUCCUUCACAGUUUUAUUUGAGACGACUGUACAACCACUAAGAUGAAUUGUUAGAUUCAACAGAAGAUCUCUUUGUUUCUUGGGACCUAGAACAAGCAUCUCUGUUUUGUCCGAAUUUAAAAGUAGAAAGUUUGCAGCCAUCCACUUCCUUAUGUCUGAAACACAGACUUCUUGCGAUGGCAAUUUUGGGGCUUCACCAUGUUUCAUUGAAAUGUACAGCUGUGUGUCAUCCGCAUAGCAGUGAAAGUUAACAUUAUGUUUUCGAAUGACAUCCACAAGAGGUAAAAUAUAUAGUGAAAACAAUAGUGGUUGAUUUGUCAGAGGACAUACCAUUCACAGAGACAAACUGAUAUCUUUCCGACAGAUAAGAUCUAAACCAGGCCAGAACUUGUUCGUGUAGACCAAUUUGGGUUUCCAAUCUCUCCAAAAGAAUGUGGGGAUCGAUGGUAUCAAAAGCAGCACUAAGGUCUAGGAGCACGAGGACAGAUGCAGAGCCUCGGUCUGAUGCCAAUAAAAGGUAAUUUACCACCUUCACAAGUGCAGUCUCAGUGCUAUGAUGGGGUCUAAAACCAGACGGAAGCACUUCGUAUACAUUGUUUGUCUUCAGGAAGGCAGUGACAGCCUUUUGAGAGGAAUGGAAGAUUCGAUAUAGGCCGAUAGUUUGUUAUAUUUUCUGGGAGGCUUUAUUACUGCCGUUCAUAGACUGUUCUCUCUGCUACCGCACGACAAGCGGUACCGGAGCACCAAGUCUAGGUCCAAAAGGCUCCUUAACAGGCUGGUGAACAAUUAAUCAAAUGCUAUUUGCAUUGUUGCUGAACCCCCCCCCCCGCCUUUGUUUUCACCCUGCUCACUGUUUAUUAUUUAUGCAAAGUCACUUUACCCCUACCUACAUGUACAAAUUACCUUGACUAACCUGUACCCCCGCACAUUGGCUCGGUACCGGUACCCCCCUGUAUAUUAAGGGAUCCUGAGUAACGCAGCGGUCUAAGGUGCUUGAGGCGUCACUACAGACCCAGGUUCGAUCCCGGACUAUAUCACAACCGGCCGUGAUCGGGAUUCCCAUAGGGCGGCACACAAUUAGUAUGUUAGUAUGUCAGUCAAUAUGUGUUAAACCAGGACAGAUGGGAUAGUGCUUCUCCCAUGAAAACAAAACAUUUAGAUUUCCCAG
ensembl:lncRNA